rnacentral:rRNA from 1 species
CGGGUGAGUAACACGUAAGUAAUCUGCCUUCGAGUGGGGAAUACCUUCGGGAAACCGAAGAUAAUACCGCAUAAUGCAGCGGCACCGCAAGGUGACAGUUGUUAAAGGAGCAAUCCGCUUGAAGAGGAGCUUGCGGCAGAUUAGCUAGUUGGUAAGGUAACGGCUUACCAAGGCUACGAUCUGUAUCCGGUCUAAGAGGACGGUCGGACACACUGACACUGAAUAACGGGUCAG